rnacentral:rRNA from 1 species
UACAGAGGGUGCAAGCGUUGUUCGGAAUUAUUGGGCGUAAAGCGCGUGUAGGCGGCUUAGCAAGUCUGGCGUGAAAGCCCUCGGCUCAACCGGGAAGUGCGCCCGAAACUGCUGAGCUUGAGUGCCGGAGAGGAUGGCGGAAUUCCUGGUGUAGCGGUGAAAUGCGUAGAUAUCAGGAGGAACACCUGUGGUGUAGACAGCUUACUGGACCACUUCUGACGCUGAGACACGAAAGCGUGGGUAGCAAACAGG